CCGCAUCCAGGAACCAGGCCGCCUUCUCUGGGGUGGGAGCACGGAGCUCCGACUGGUUUUGGAGCUGGAAAACAUCCAGAUUUGAAAAAUAAAGCAUCAAUGUUGCAGACAUGACAUGAUGGGGGAGGCUGUCAAGUCCUGGUUCUGUGGCUGACUGCUACAGCCAGUUGCACAGGGACGUUGCGCUGCAGGCUAUAAAACAACGAGGGCGAGUCGCCAAGUGAAGGACUGACACACUGACAGUCAGGCACACAUACGAGGGAUGGCUCAUAAACCACAUAUGCUCUGUGUGUGUAGCCGGGGAAGUUGUGUUCAAGAGGCUGUUACCC